rnacentral:rRNA from 1 species
UACGGAGGAUGCGAGCGUUAUCCGGAUUUAUUGGGUUUAAAGGGUGCGUAGGUGGUUUGGCAAGUUGGUAGCGUAACUCCGGGGCUCAACCCCGGCGAGCCGUUGAAACUGUGUGGCUGGAGACGGAGAGAAGUAGGCGGAAUGCGCGGUGUAGCGGUGAAAUGCAUAGAUAUCGCGCAGAACUCCGAUUGCGAAGGCAGCCUACCGGCUCCACACUGACGCUGAGGCACGAAAGCGUGGGUAUCGAA